rnacentral:snRNA from 3 species
AGCUUUGCGCAGUGGCAGUAUAAUAGCCAAUGAGGUUUAUCCGAGGUGCGACUAUUGCUAAUAGUUGAAAUACAUGUUUUAUGUUAUAUAUAUUUUACCACAAUAAAAAAAUGAUUAAAAAAUUUUGGCAUUGGGGCACCUG